rnacentral:rRNA from 1 species
UAUGAGAGUUUGAUCCUGGCUCAGGACGAACGCUGGCGGCGUGCCUAAUACAUGCAAGUCGAACGCUUCUUUUUCCACCGGAGCUUGCUCCACCGGAAAAAGAGGAGUGGCGAACGGGUGAGUAACACGUGGGUAACCUGCCCAUCAGAAGGGGAUAACACUUGGAAACAGGUGCUAAUACCGUAUAACAAUCAAAACCGCAUGGUUUUGAUUUGAAAGGCGCUUUCGGGUGUCGCUGAUGGAUGGACCCGCGGUGCAUUAGCUAGUUGGUGAGGUAACGGCUCACCAAGGCCACGAUGCAUAGCCGACCUGAGAGGGUGAUCGGCCACAUUGGGACUGAGACACGGCCCAAACUCCUACGGGAGGCAGCAGUAGGGAAUCUUCGGCAAUGGACGAAAGUCUGACCGAGCAACGCCGCGUGAGUGAAGAAGGUUUUCGGAUCGUAAAACUCUGUUGUUAGAGAAGAACAAGGAUGAGAGUAACUGUUCAUCCCUUGACGGUAUCUAACCAGAAAGCCACGGCUAACUACGUGCCAGCAGCCGCGGUAAUACGUAGGUGGCAAGCGUUGUCCGGAUUUAUUGGGCGUAAAGCGAGCGCAGGCGGUCUAUAAAAUCUUUGAUUUUAUGAGACGAUCGAUCUUUUUGCCGCACAGGCUGAUUUGUGAGCUGGAUAGAGAAGAGGAGAGUGGAAUUCCAUGUGUAGCGGUGAAAUGCGUAGAUAUAUGGAGGAACACCAGUGGCGAAGGCGGCUCUCUGGUCUGUAACUGACGCUGAGGCUCGAAAGCGUGGGGAGCAAACAGGAUUAGAUACCCUGGUAGUCCACGCCGUAAACGAUGAGUGCUAAGUGUUGGAGGGUUUCCGCCCUUCAGUGCUGCAGCUAACGCAUUAAGCACUCCGCCUGGGGAGUACGACCGCAAGGUUGAAACUCAAAGGAAUUGACGGGGGCCCGCACAAGCGGUGGAGCAUGUGGUUUAAUUCGAAGCAACGCGAAGAACCUUACCAGGUCUUGACAUCCUUUGACCACUCUAGAGAUAGAGCUUCCCCUUCGGGGGCAAAGUGACAGGUGGUGCAUGGUUGUCGUCAGCUCGUGUCGUGAGAUGUUGGGUUAAGUCCCGCAACGAGCGCAACCCUUAUUGUUAGUUGCCAUCAUUCAGUUGGGCACUCUAGCAAGACUGCCGGUGACAAACCGGAGGAAGGUGGGGAUGACGUCAAAUCAUCAUGCCCCUUAUGACCUGGGCUACACACGUGCUACAAUGGGAAGUACAACGAGUUGCGAAGUCGCGAGGCUAAGCUAAUCUCUUAAAGCUUCUCUCAGUUCGGAUUGCAGGCUGCAACUCGCCUGCAUGAAGCCGGAAUCGCUAGUAAUCGCGGAUCAGCACGCCGCGGUGAAUACGUUCCCGGGCCUUGUACACACCGCCCGUCACACCACGAGAGUUUGUAACACCCGAAGUCGGUGAGGUAACCUUUUGGAGCCAGCCGCCUAAGGUGGGAUAGAUGAUUGGGGUGAAGUCGUAACAAGGUAGCCGUAUCGGAAGGUGCGGCUGGAUCACCUCCUU